rnacentral:lncRNA from 1 species
CAAUAAAAAUGAAGGAAACCUGGAAAACGAGGGAAAGCCAGAAGAUGAAGUAGAGCCUGAUGAUGAAGGAAAGUCAGACGAGGAAGAAAAGCCAGACGCGGAGGGGAAGACAGAAUGCGAGGGAAAGCGAAAGGCUGAGGGAGAGCCAGGUGAUGAGGGACAACUGGAAGAUAAGGGAAGCCAGGAAAAGCAGGGCAAGUCCGAAGGUGAGGGCAAGCCACAAGGCGAGGGCAAGC